rnacentral:rRNA from 1 species
GACGAACCGUGCGAACGUUGUUCGGAUUCACUGGGCUUAAAGGGCGCGUAGGCGGGCAUCCAAGUCAGGGGUGAAAUCUUUCGGCCCAACCGGAAAAGUGCCUUUGAUACUGGGUGCCUCGAGUGAGGUAGGGGCAUGUGGAACUUCCGGUGGAGCGGUGAAAUGCGUAGAUAUCGGAGGGAACGCCGGUGGCGAAAGCGACGUGCUGGACCUCAACUGACGCUGAGGCGCGAAAGCUAGGGGAGCAAACGGG